CAGAGAUGACACCUUCCCACCAAGUGAAGAAUGCCCACUUCCUCCUUCAGAGCAGCUAAAGGGGCUACCCAGAUCUGUGUUGAAGAGAAAACUCUGUUACCAAUGUGAGAAAAAUGAAGGCACUAGAAACGGAAAUCCUGUAAAUGCUCUCCUUUCCAUCCAACAUAUCCACCUGCAGAAGUCAGGGAAAGAAGAGAGAAGAAAUCAAGAGAAUACUAACUAAUAAAUUAAAAGUUUUCAGAAGCAAAAUCUAAAGCCAGAUGGGCACCAUCUGGUCAUAGCUGAUACCAUGUACUUGUAAGAGAGGCCACAGCUACAUUUUAGAAGCUCUCAGAAUGGAAAAGACACCUGCGUUGAUCAGAUAACCAAGAGAUCUCUGUUCCUAUUGAGGCCUGACUCACAGGCCUUGCAAAGGAGCAAAGAAGGGAAAAGGAAAUGUCAUCCAUUGUGUAAAAUACUGCCUUGCUGGCCUGCCAGCUAAAACUUGGCCACAGCCCCUGUUGUGGCUGCAGGCUCAAGUUAUUGUUAACAAAGAGACCCAAGAAAAGCUGCUAAUGUCCUCUUAUCACCAUUGUUAAUUUGUUAAAACAUAAAACAAUCUAAAAUUUC
ensembl:lncRNA